rnacentral:rRNA from 1 species
GGUUAAGCGACUAAGCGUACACGGUGGAUGCCCUGGCAGUCAGAGGCGAUGAAGGACGUGCUAAUCUGCGAAAAGCGUCGGUAAGGUGAUAUGAACCGUUACAGCCGGCGAUGUCCGAAUGGGGAAACCCAGUGCAAUUCGUUGCACUAUCGUUAACUGAAUACAUAGGUUAACGAGGCGAACCGGGGGAACUGAAACAUCUAAGUACCCCGAGGAAAAGAAAUCAACCGAGAUUCCCCCAGUAGCGGCGAGCGAACGGGGAGCAGCCCAGAGUCUGAAUCAGCUUGUGUGUUAGUGGAACGGUCUGGAAAGUCCGACGGUACAGGGUGAUAGUCCCGUACACCAAAAUGCACAGGCUGUGAACUCGAAGAGUAGGGCGGGACACGUGGUAUCCUGUCUGAAUAUGGGGGGACCAUCCUCCAAGGCUAAAUACUCCUGACUGACCGAUAGUGAACCAGUACCGUGAGGGAAAGGCGAAAAGAACCCCGGCGAGGGGAGUGAAAAAGAACCUGAAACCGUGUACGUACAAGCAGUGGGAGCACCUUCGGGUGUGACUGCGUACCUUUUGUAUAAUGGGUCAGCGACUUAUAUUCUGUAGCAAGGUUAACCGUAUAGGGGAGCCGCAGGGAAACCGAGUCUUAACUGGGCGUUAAGUUGCAGGGUAUAGACCCGAAACCCGGUGAUCUAGCCAUGGGCAGGUUGAAGGUUGGGUAACACUAACUGGAGGACCGAACCGACUAAUGUUGAAAAAUUAGCGGAUGACUUGUGGCUGGGGGUGAAAGGCCAAUCAAACCGGGAGAUAGCUGGUUCUCCCCGAAAGCUAUUUAGGUAGCGCCUCGUGAACUCAUCUUCGGGGGUAGAGCACUGUUUCGGCUAGGGGGUCAUCCCGACUUACCAACCCGAUGCAAACUACGAAUACCGAAGAAUGUUAUCACGGGAGACACACGGCGGGUGCUAACGUCCGUCGUGAAGAGGGAAACAACCCAGACCGCCAGCUAAGGUCCCAAAGUCAUGGUUAAGUGGGAAACGAUGUGGGAAGGCACAGACAGCCAGGAUGUUGGCUUAGAAGCAGCCAUCAUUUAAAGAAAGCGUAAUAGCUCACUGGUCGAGUCGGCCUGCGCGGAAGAUGUAACGGGGCUAAACCAUGCACCGAAGCUGCGGCAGCGACACUAUGUGUUGUUGGGUAGGGGAGCGUUCUGUAAGCCUGCGAAGGUGACCUGUGAGGGUUGCUGGAGGUAUCAGAAGUGCGAAUGCUGACAUAAGUAACGAUAAAGCGGGUGAAAAGCCCGCUCGCCGGAAGACCAAGGGUUCCUGUCCAACGUUAAUCGGGGCAGGGUGAGUCGACCCCUAAGGCGAGGCCGAAAGGCGUAGUCGAUGGGAAACAGGUUAAUAUUCCUGUACUUGGUGUUACUGCGAAGGGGGGACGGAGAAGGCUAUGUUAGCCGGGCGACGGUUGUCCCGGUUUAAGCAUGUAGGCUGGUUAUCCAGGCAAAUCCGGAUAAUCAAGGCUGAGGUGUGAUGACGAGGCACUACGGUGCUGAAGUAACAAAUGCCCUGCUUCCAGGAAAAGCCUCUAAGCAUCAGGUAACAUCAAAUCGUACCCCAAACCGACACAGGUGGUCAGGUAGAGAAUACCAAGGCGCUUGAGAGAACUCGGGUGAAGGAACUAGGCAAAAUGGUGCCGUAACUUCGGGAGAAGGCACGCUGGUGUGUAGGUGAAGUCCCUGCGGAUGGAGCUGAGACCAGUCGAAGAUACCAGCUGGCUGCAACUGUUUAUUAAAAACACAGCACUGUGCAAACACGAAAGUGGACGUAUACGGUGUGACGCCUGCCCGGUGCCGGAAGGUUAAUUGAUGGGGUUAUCCGUAAGGAGAAGCUCUUGAUCGAAGCCCCGGUAAACGGCGGCCGUAACUAUAACGGUCCUAAGGUAGCGAAAUUCCUUGUCGGGUAAGUUCCGACCUGCACGAAUGGCGUAAUGAUGGCCAGGCUGUCUCCACCCGAGACUCAGUGAAAUUGAACUCGCUGUGAAGAUGCAGUGUACCCGCGGCAAGACGGAAAGACCCCGUGAACCUUUACUAUAGCUUGACACUGAACAUUGAGCCUUGAUGUGUAGGAUAGGUGGGAGGCUUUGAAGCGUGGACGCCAGUCUGCGUGGAGCCAACCUUGAAAUACCACCCUUUAAUGUUUGAUGUUCUAACGUGGGCCCCUGACCGGGGUUGCGGACAGUGUCUGGUGGGUAGUUUGACUGGGGCGGUCUCCUCCCAAAGCGUAACGGAGGAGCACGAAGGUUAGCUAAUCCUGGUCGGACAUCAGGAGGUUAGUGCAAUGGCAUAAGCUAGCUUGACUGCGAGCGUGACGGCGCGAGCAGGUGCGAAAGCAGGUCAUAGUGAUCCGGUGGUUCUGAAUGGAAGGGCCAUCGCUCAACGGAUAAAAGGUACUCCGGGGAUAACAGGCUGAUACCGCCCAAGAGUUCAUAUCGACGGCGGUGUUUGGCACCUCGAUGUCGGCUCAUCACAUCCUGGGGCUGAAGUAGGUCCCAAGGGUAUGGCUGUUCGCCAUUUAAAGUGGUACGCGAGCUGGGUUUAGAACGUCGUGAGACAGUUCGGUCCCUAUCUGCCGUGGGCGCUGGAGAAUUGAGGGGGGCUGCUCCUAGUACGAGAGGACCGGAGUGGACGCAUCACUGGUGUUCGGGUUGUCAUGCCAAUGGCACUGCCCGGUAGCUAAAUGCGGAAGAGAUAAGUGCUGAAAGCAUCUAAGCACGAAACUUGCCCCGAGAUGAGUUCUCCCUGAGACUUUAAGUCUCCUGAAGGAACGUUGAAGACGACGACGUUGAUAGGCCGGGUGUGUAAGCGCAGCGAUGCGUUGAGCUAACCGGUACUAAUGAACCGUGAGGCUUAACCUU